rnacentral:rRNA from 1 species
UACGUAGGGCGCAAGCGUUAUCCGGAAUUACUGGGCGUAAAGCGUGCGCAGGCGGUUUUGUAAGUUUGUCGUGAAAGCCCCGGGCUCAACCUGGGAAUUGCGAUGAAGACUGCAAGGCUUGAAUCUGGCAGAGGGGGGUAGGAAUUCCACGUGUAGCAGUGAAAUGCGUAGAGAUGUGGAGGAACACCGAUGGCGAAGGCAGCCCCCUGGGUCAAGAUUGACGCUCAUGCACGAAAGCGUGGGGAGCAAACAGG